rnacentral:tRNA from 1 species
GGGGAUUUAGCUCAGUGGUAGAGCGCUUGCCUAGGAAGCGCAAGGUCCUGGGUUCAAUCCCCAGCCCCG